GCAGACUUUAGUAUGAGACUAGAUUCUAUCUCCAGAAACAACAUUUAAGUUUUAUCCCUUAUGCAGAGUAUCCAGUGGCACAACAUUAGGAAUCCAUCAUCAUUAUAGUGGAUCACUAUCAUAUUCCAUUGAAAAUGCCUACUGGAAGUCAAGAUACAUUUGUUGCCUGUUGACCUAACCUGGAUCAUACUGCAUAAGGAUGCUACUGUUUCCAAAGCACUUUGACAUUUCAGAUAACAUAUUGGAAAAGGAGUAUAAUUUUUAAAGGAAGAGGCUUUUGUGAGAGCAUUGACAUUUAAAGGACAGCAGAGAAGAUCCUGAACAGAGACCUGAGUAUAAGCUACACAGAGAGCGGAAAAAACCUUGCGAAUUUCCUAGUAAAGCUCACCACUGGUGCAACUCAGUUAAAAGCCAGGUGGCAUGGGAGUCCUGCAGACAUAGCCCACCUCUGUCAGUGUCCUGAGUCAAGAGCAGGACUGGCAAGGUUGGAAAGUGGAUGUGGAGGAGCAAGGAAGAGAGAGCUGUAUUUAGAAGAGUUUGAAUUGUUUGCAGCAUACAUUGAUGAACAACCCAGAAACUUGAGUGAUGUUUUUGGAAUACCUGUGCAUCAUAUGCACUAUGGAAUGUGCUAUGGAGCAUAAAAAUACAGUGUCCUGGUCUGAAAAGAAGGAUACAGACAAGAAAUUGAGUCUUGUUUCCUGAUUAUUCAUCUUGUGGUCUUUGGAUAAGUCAUCUCUUGUAUCUUCAGUGCCUUCAGAACUUUACACGCAUCGGGAGGAUUAGGAAUGAUGAACAGAAAGUGCCUGGCAGAAGAUAUUCACAAAGAAAAUAAGGAUCCUAAUACUAACUACAACAUUGGACUAAAGUGACUACAAUAACGUGUGCCUGCCAUUAACAAAAGCAUGAACAAAAAGCUGAGGCAGCUCAGAAGCUGGGAUGAGAUCUGCUUUGGUGAAUGAGGGACAAUUUCAUAAAGGAGGUGCCAUUGGAUCCGGAAACUGACGAAUAAAAAAGAGUUUAGCAGAUGAAGCGGAGUGGGCUAUACAAACAAAUGGGAUUAUGAACAUGUCGCAUAUGAUUAUGUAAUCAUGAGAACCUCAGUAUUGAACGUAAUUGAAUAUAGAGCCUUGAGAGGAAUGUUGGGGCCAGAAGUUUUAUACACACACACACAUUCACACACACACACAUUCACACACAUGUAAUACAAAAGAAUUAAUGCUUGCUGCCUUAAUGCAUACUGUCACAUAUUUAGAAAUAUUUUCUGCUUUUGGCACGAGGAGAGUUUUCUUAGUAAAAGUCCACCGAUAGUCCUGCUGCGCCUGUCUUUGCAUAACUCUGAUUCUGUGUAGGCGUAACUGUACACUCAAAUUGCAGCUAAUUGAUUGCGAAGCACAACUUGCUCUGGUUAAAGAAAUAGUUUAAUUCCAUAAAUAUCCAUAAAAGCUUGAAAUGAGGUAAGAAUCUCAGUGCUCACAUUCAGAAUCUCCUUAUUUUCCGUUAAAAACACAUUUGCAAUUUUAAGUCCCUUUACUUCCAGACAUAUGGUAAACUUAACGUCAGUCAUUCUUGAUGUAAUCCCCUCUCUGCAG
ensembl:lncRNA